rnacentral:misc_RNA from 1 species
AAACAUUGUACGAAAGAAAUUCAUAUAAUGUUUGAAAUUUGACUCAUAUUUGAAAUCUAGAAAUGAAAGCCCUCAUACGGCCUGGCAACACAUCUUAUAAAUCCAAAUUAUCCAUCUUAUAAUAAGCCUUUGUCCCAUAACACAUGCCCAGCCCCAUAUGCUUGAGCUCUCUACUAUGUACCGCAAGGACCAGCUGGCCGAAUGGACUUUGAGGGUAGUCACCAACAAAAUAAGGCAAAUUCGAUCAUUCUUAUUGCAAUUUACAAACUAGUACAAAACAGACUAAAAAAAGCUAGUACAGAACAGAAACGACCGAACUGCAAACAUGUCCAUAACCCACCAACAACAAACGGAUACAAAAGAGUUAAGAACCAAGUUAUUGGGUUGCUGUAUAUGCACAAAGCCUAAUUGAUACCUCCUCUACUAAUGUAAAUGUUAGUGAUGUUGCUACAAUGAACACAAAAGCAGUCCCAAUGCUCCCUUAUUAACCAUGCAUCAUAUCUUUCAACGUGGUUGGUGAAUUUGGUGAUUGCGUCGAGCCACACCCUUUGGGCUCCCGCAGUGGGCUGUCUUCAUUUGGUACUUGCCUGGCUUCACCGGAGAUUUCACACUCCUUUCUUUGGGUGAUUUUGGUAUGCUCAGUUCCUUGAGUACCCCGUUCACAUCCAUUUUAACGCCAUUGAGAGGCUUCUUCUUCUCCUCUUUCUCUUCAUUCAAAAUGACCAGCUCCUCAAACUGAGCUACAAGAUUACCAAACUCAUCAUCAAAACCGAUGUCGAACUUCUCCGGCAACAAUUCCUCAACGUCAUCGUUACCAUUAGCACUACCGUCAAAGCUCCCCUCUGGAUGUUGGCUCAGCCAGUAGUCACGAAACCACGUCGAAGUUUUCACCAGCUCCCACCACUCCGGAGAAAAAUCCUCCACUUGACGGUACACGGAAGGAAUGAAGACCGGAGCAUUCGGAUUCAGUGUAGAUCUCUGUCCCGCGACCAAAGCCAUCGCUUUUUCAACAAGCAAGAGUAAGUUAUCGUCCGAUCUGAAGAAGAGCGUUACGUUGACCUUGUACGGUAAGCUCCUGUCAGUGAUGUUCGUGCGCAGUUUCUAGAAAGUGGAAAGCGCAGCAGGUGAUAUAUUAUAGUUGCAGAUGGAUAAGGAUAGAGAAAUACAAAAAUGGCAGCCGGUCGGUGACUUUAAUGGACACGUGGACACUGAAAGACGGAUAAUAGAUUAGAUCGGGUAACACAAUCCACGGUGGAUAGCGAUUAGCGCUCAUCACACGGCUGGAGUUGGAUGCAGAGUUGGUGUCUUUUGAAAGCCCAAGUUAGGCCCGGUCCACAAGAGAGCAAUUUCAAACUCCACCCGAUUCGGAAGAAUCUGGCGCGAUUUCUGAUCCCUAUCCGCAUCAAAACCCUAUUAGUAAAACCUCCGUUUCUCCGAUAUCCCCAAACCCAGUAAAAACCCAGAUAAUCUAUUCCCCAUAAUCCCACAAAUGCAGAACCAGAACCGGGUGUUUUGCCCCGAAAACGAAGAGCUCGUAUCCUUCAUGUUGCAGAAGAGGCAAGAAUUGGCUGAAAGGCCUGAAGGGAUAUCAGAGAACAUAGACAUGAUUCUUUCUAAGGCUUACAACAGUGUGUGUAGCUCAAAGACUCCAAUCAAAACUCUCAAGGACUUAUCUCAGAUUAAGGGUGUAGGUAAAUGGAUUCUGAAAUUAAUGCAAGGGUUUUUUGAUGGUGGUUCAGGAAUUUCUGAGCCAGAAGACUUGACCAAAAAGGUUAAGAGAGCCAAAGGAACAAAACGCUAUGUGCCACAAAAAAAUUCUGUUGCGUAUGCAUUGCUGAUUACCCUUUACAGGGGAACUUCAAAUGGCAAUGAAUUUAUGCGUAAACAGGAGCUUAUUGAUGCAGCUGAAGCUAGUGGGCUAUCUCGGGUUUCUAUUUUGCAGGAAAAAGGAAAAGGGAAACCUGGACAAUUUGGAAGUUCUUCCAGGGACUGGUAUAGUGGGUGGAGUUGCAUGAAGACAUUGAUAUGCAAAGGAUUAGUUGUUAAAUCAAGUUGCCCUGCAAAGUACAUGCUGACUGAGGAAGGGCAGGAAGCAGCUCGUGAAUGUCUUUUGAGAUCUCGUUUGUUGGAUCCUAGAGAAGGUUCAGCUAAUGUAGAGGUUUCUUCUGAUGUGGACAUGGAUAAUGCAUCAGAUCUAGAGUCUGCUCACCCUGGUUCAACUUCUUUAGUGAUAUCUUCAUCUGUUGGUUUAAGCAGGAAGAAGAAAUCAAUUGAUGUUCCUCUAGAAUCUCUUGAGAGGUUUAUGCGCAUGGGAUACACUAAGGAACAAGUACUUCAUGCUGUAACUGAAGUUUCAGAGACUUCCCACAACAAGGAGAUUUCUUUGCUUUGGCCAGCAGUUCUUUGUCGUCUUCGAGAAGAUCAAGUUUAUGGUCUCCAUUCAGAACCUCAAACCCUGAGAAAGGAUUGUCAAGCUAAGUCUACGGCUCACACAUUUACAAAUGGUAGUAAACUUACCUUAUAGAUGCUAUUCGUCCUCUAACUAUUCUUUAACCAUAUGGAUGCUUGUAAUCAUUCAGUUCAAGUAGACCUUGUUGGUAAUCAGAGUGUUGGGAUGGAUUUGACUUCUGAUGAUGGAAAUAUUCCAAAUUUGCAUUCUGUCUGUUCUGCACCUGAUGCAUUUACCUUGAGAACUUGUUCAUCAUCUGGUUCUGCUGCGAAGAAGCUGAGUUUGGGUGGCCUGGAAGCAAACAUGAAUAUUUUACGCAUGCCGCCUCUGAACUUAGGGGAGAGAUUUGAGGAUGUGUAUGAAGUAAUAUUGAUACUGGAUGACAGAGAGCAUUAUGCCAUUCAGGGGUCAAAGUACAGUAAACUUAUUGAGAGCAUUUGCAAAGAACAUAAAAUUAAAAUAGUGGUUAGGCGGUUACCUGUUGGAGAUGGAAUCUGGAUAGCUCGCCAUAAGUAUCUGUUCUGUGAAUACGUGCUUGAUUUUAUUGUUGAGAGAAAGAAAGUUGAUGACUUGCGCUCUUCAAUCAGGGAUCAUCGCUAUAAAGAUCAGAAACUGAGGCUUCUGGUUGCAUUUCUCGCUGUUUUCUCUUUUUCUUCAUUUUAAUCCCUGAUAAUAUUUUAUAUAUUUAUUAUUUUUGGUUUACCAUUUUAGCAGUUGAUAACUGGGUCUGGAUGGUUGUUAAGUUCCUAUUCUUAUUUGUUGUGGAUAUGACUAGUUAUAGGCCUCUUGAUUUUUUUUUUUCCUAUAAAUCCACUGGGGAAUUUGAAUUUUUCACCAUUUUAAUGCCUAUAUAAUUUCACAUUUUUGUUUCACUAUUGCAAAGUUAAAAUAGCACAAAGGUCACAAUGAUAAUUUGGAAUUUUUGUUCCCAUUGGAAAUCAAAAUAGCUUGUGAAAAUCACAAAACAUGCUUUUUCUGACACAAUGUGGGUUACUUUUAAAGUUUUGGUGGUACAGGUAUUUAGUAGUUGUAAUAGCACAAUUUUGUUAGUGUGAAAUGUGUAAAUCAUUUAUUUUGAUUAUAGUAUUUCAUAAUGACAUUCAUGCAUUAAUCUGCAUGUUUUUAGAGAUGUGGACUUAAGAAGCUGAUAUAUCUUGUGGAAGGUGAUCCAAAUUCCUGUGAAGCAGCUGAAAGCAUCAAAACAGCGUAAUCUCUUUUUCCCCCUCUUUCGUAACUGUCAAUAUUUUGAAUUCUAUUCCUUGAGAAUGGUUAACUGGUAAUUGUUGAUCUUAUAGUACAAAUUUAUUACUUUCAGGAUUUUAUGAUUACUGGAUUCUACUGUUCAUUAUAUUGUUAUAUGCAGUUGUUUUACGACAGAGAUUCUGGAAGGAUUUGAUGUGCAGAGAACAAGUUGCCUGCGUGAUACACUGAAGAAGUAUGGUUAUCUCACUCACUCAAUAACUCAAUACUAUGGAUCACAGCUGCCUGAGUAUGAGCCAAACUGUGCUGGGGUCUGUCCUCCUUUUGAUGAAUUUAUCAAAAGGUGCCAAGACCUGGACAAAAUGACAGUCUGUGAUGUAUUUGCCAUUCAGCUCAUGCAGGUUCCACAAGUAACAGAGGAAAUUGCCAUUGCUGUUCUAGAUCUGUAUCCAACACUUGUAUCUCUUGCCCGUGCCUAUUCUCUGCUUGUGAGUUCUUACUUUCUACUUGGGGACUUUCUUGAGCAAAAUAAUGAUAAUCUAUUAGAAUGUGGUUUUCACAGUUAAAAAAAAAGCAGGGAAAUUUUAACUUAUUCACUGACCGGCAUAUGGUUUGGGCCCAUUCAUGGUCUUGAAUUUAGUGAUUUGACGGGGAUAAAUGACACAAUAUGUUACUACCAUCUCAACGAAUUUCUACUGUGGCCUGCAUGCACAUAUCUGCUUAGUGCUUAGGCUCAAUGUUAUAUCUAAAGAUUCACAUGGUUUCAUUGAUUAUCUUUCUUGUAUUUAUUUGUGACUUGGUGAACUUUAUUUGCCAAAUUUCUCCUUAUUUUAUCUACUUUAACAUCAACUUUUUGCCUUGAAAGGAUGGUGAUGUCUGUGCACAAGAGGAGAUGCUUAGGAAGCAGAGUAACAAUGCUAUUAGUGCA